UACAGAGGUCUCAAGCGUUGUUCGGAUUCAUUGGGCGUAAAGGGCGCGUAGGCGGCGCGGUAAGUCGGAUGUGAAAUCUCGGGGCUUAACUCCGAAACUGCAUUCGAUACUGCCGUGCUUGAGGACUGGAGAGGAGACUGGAAUUUACGGUGUAGCGGUGAAAUGCGUAGAUAUCGGAAGGAAGACCAGUGGCGAAGGCGGGUCUCUGGACAGUUCCUGACGCUGAGGCACGAAGGCCAGGGGAGCAAACGGG
rnacentral:rRNA from 1 species